AUUCCAGCUCCAAUAGCGUAUAUUAAAGUUGUUGCAGUUAAAAAGCUCGUAGUUGGAUUUCUGGUGGGGACGUUUGGCCGGCCGUAACGGUUUGCGCUGAAAUGUUCUUCGCCAUCCUUGACGAAUACUGGUUCGCCAUUAAGUUGUGUGGGCUUGGAGUCGUCAUCGUUUACUGUGAAAAAAUUAGAGUGUUCAAAGCAGGCUUAUGCCGUUGAAUACAUUAGCAUGGAAUAAUAAGAUAGGACCCUGGUACUAUUUUGUUGGUUUGCGUACCUAGGUAAUGAUUAAUAGGGACAGUUGGGGGUAUUUGUAUUCCGUUGUCAGAGGUGAAAUUCUUGGAUUUACGGAAGACAAACUACUGCGAAAGCAUUUACCAAGGAUGUUUUCAUUA
rnacentral:rRNA from 1 species